rnacentral:rRNA from 1 species
UUAAAUUGAAGAGUUUGAUCAUGGCUCAGAUUGAACGCUGGCGGCAGGCCUAACACAUGCAAGUCGAACGGUAACAGGAAGCAGCUUGCAAGCAGCUUGCUGCUUUGCUGACGAGUGGCGGACGGGUGAGUAAUGUCUGGGAAACUGCCUGAUGGAGGGGGAUAACUACUGGAAACGGUAGCUAAUACCGCAUAACGUCGCAAGACCAAAGAGGGGGACCUUCGGGCCUCUUGCCAUCGGAUGUGCCCAGAUGGGAUUAGCUAGUAGGUGGGGUAAAGGCUCACCUAGGCGACGAUCCCUAGCUGGUCUGAGAGGAUGACCAGCCACACUGGAACUGAGACACGGUCCAGACUCCUACGGGAGGCAGCAGUGGGGAAUAUUGCACAAUGGGCGCAAGCCUGAUGCAGCCAUGCCGCGUGUAUGAAGAAGGCCUUCGGGUUGUAAAGUACUUUCAGCGGGGAGGAAGGGAGUAAAGUUAAUACCUUUGCUCAUUGACGUUACCCGCAGAAGAAGCACCGGCUAACUCCGUGCCAGCAGCCGCGGUAAUACGGAGGGUGCAAGCGUUAAUCGGAAUUACUGGGCGUAAAGCGCACGCAGGCGGUUUGUUAAGUCAGAUGUGAAAUCCCCGGGCUCAACCUGGGAACUGCAUCUGAUACUGGCAAGCUUGAGUCUCGUAGAGGGGGGUAGAAUUCCAGGUGUAGCGGUGAAAUGCGUAGAGAUCUGGAGGAAUACCGGUGGCGAAGGCGGCCCCCUGGACGAAGACUGACGCUCAGGUGCGAAAGCGUGGGGAGCAAACAGGAUUAGAUACCCUGGUAGUCCACGCCGUAAACGAUGUCGACUUGGAGGUUGUGCCCUUGAGGCGUGGCUUCCGGAGCUAACGCGUUAAGUCGACCGCCUGGGGAGUACGGCCGCAAGGUUAAAACUCAAAUGAAUUGACGGGGGCCCGCACAAGCGGUGGAGCAUGUGGUUUAAUUCGAUGCAACGCGAAGAACCUUACCUGGUCUUGACAUCCACGGAAGUUUUCAGAGAUGAGAAUGUGCCUUCGGGAACCGUGAGACAGGUGCUGCAUGGCUGUCGUCAGCUCGUGUUGUGAAAUGUUGGGUUAAGUCCCGCAACGAGCGCAACCCUUAUCCUUUGUUGCCAGCGGUCCGGCCGGGAACUCAAAGGAGACUGCCAGUGAUAAACUGGAGGAAGGUGGGGAUGACGUCAAGUCAUCAUGGCCCUUACGACCAGGGCUACACACGUGCUACAAUGGCGCAUACAAAGAGAAGCGACCUCGCGAGAGCAAGCGGACCUCAUAAAGUGCGUCGUAGUCCGGAUUGGAGUCUGCAACUCGACUCCAUGAAGUCGGAAUCGCUAGUAAUCGUGGAUCAGAAUGCCACGGUGAAUACGUUCCCGGGCCUUGUACACACCGCCCGUCACACCAUGGGAGUGGGUUGCAAAAGAAGUAGGUAGCUUAACCUUCGGGAGGGCGCUUACCACUUUGUGAUUCAUGACUGGGGUGAAGUCGUAACAAGGUAACCGUAGGGGAACCUGCGGUUGGAUCACCUCCUUACCUUAAAGAAGC